rnacentral:rRNA from 1 species
GACGAACGCUGGCGGCGUGCUUAACACAUGCAAGUCGAACGGAAAGGCCCUGCUUGCAGGGUACUCGAGUGGCGAACGGGUGAGUAACACGUGGGUGAUCUGCCCUGCACUUCGGGAUAAGCCUGGGAAACUGGGUCUAAUACCGGAUAGGAGCCAUUUUUAGUGUGAUGGUUGGAAAGUUUUUUCGGUGUGGGAUGAGCUCGCGGCCUAUCAGCUUGUUGGUGGGGUAAUGGCCUACCAAGGCGGCGACGGGUAGCCGGCCUGAGAGGGUGGACGGCCACAUUGGGACUGAGAGACGGCCCCGACUCCUACGGGAGGCAGCAGUGGGGAAGAUUGCACAAGGGGCGCAAGCCUGAUGCAGCGACGCCGCGGGGGGGAUGACGGCCUUCGGGUUGUAAACUCCUUUCGCUAGGGACGAAGCUUUUUGUGACGGUACCUAGAUAAGAAGCACCGGCUAACUACGUG